AUACUUACUGGCAGCGGGAGGAAUAGCAUACACUUAUGAAUCAAGCAAGAGUGGUUCACCAGCGGCAGGACUUAAACCAUUGCACUCCGGUUAUGCUGACCCCUGCGAAUUCCCCAAAUGUGGGAAUCUCGAACUGGCAAUUAAUGGGUGGCUGGUAGACUGGG